UCCGUGUUAACCACGGCAGUCUCGCGUGAAAAACAACACGCGACGAGGGUUGCGCUCGUUACCCCACUGAAGGGAACAUUUCACAACACGAGCUGACGGCAACCAUGCAGUACCUGUCCAGCACCCUCGAAGGCUUCCUUCCUUUCGGAAGGCGUGCAGCUGGAUUUCUAGCCCUGGUAAGGUUCCUCGCUUAGCAUCGAAUUAAACCACACGCUCCACCGCUUGUGCGGGCCCCCGUCUAUUCCUUUGAGUUUUAAGCUUGCGCUCGUACUACCCAGGCGGCCGACUUAACGCGUUUGCUUCGACACUGAGAGGGUCGAUACUCCCAAUGCCUAGUCGGCAACGUUUACGGCGUGGACUA
rnacentral:misc_RNA from 1 species